rnacentral:rRNA from 1 species
AGUAACACGUGUGUAUCUGCCCUCGGCAUCGGGAUAGCCCGGGAAACCCGGAUUAAUACCGGAUAGGCCUCCGGAGCCCUUCGGGCGUCGCGCAGAAAAGGUAGCUUCGGCCUCUGGCCGAGGAUUGAGCCCGCGGCGGAUUACUUGUUGGUGGGGUAGGCGGCCCACCAAGGCGACGAUCCGUAGCUGUCUGUAGAGGACGACUCAGCCACAUUGGGCAUUGAGCCCCUGCUACAAAAUCUCAAGGGGGCGGUGGGGAAUCUUGCGCUAAUGCGGGAAACCGUGACGCACGACGCCGGUGGGGAAGAAGGCCUUCGGGUUGUACCUCUUUCAGGAGGGACAAGCUACUCGGGUGAAUAGCCCAGAGGGUUGACGGUACCUCCAAGAAGAAGGCCCCGGUUAACUACGUGCCAGCCGCCGGGG